rnacentral:rRNA from 1 species
AUGGGAGUAAAUGGCUUCUUAUCACCUCCUGGGGCAGGGCCUCGCCCCAACGGCUACCUAGUACACUAUUCAUUCCAGGUGAUUCGCUAUGCUGCCAUUGACCCUCUUCCAUGUCGACAUAGGAAAGGAACAACAUCAUCUAGGACGCGUGCGUUUGCCAUCCGUAAUAUUACUAGUACUAAGCUAGGACGAGGCCUAGAUCAACUUCUAAGUAACCUCGCCUGUUUCUGGUCCCAUGGCCGGAAGUGGUUUCUCAUGCUGGAUCGCUGGGUGUUGUCGGCCACAAGACCCCCGUCGGUCCCUCUAUAUUUCCGUCGACGGCGAAAGAGAUAG